rnacentral:lncRNA from 1 species
AAUACUAAAAUAAAUGAAAACAAGCUUUAUGUAUAAAACAUUCAAGAAUAAAAAACUUGAUAUCACAGUAUUUGAAGAAAAACAAACAUUGCAAAGUUCUCAUAUCUGAAGGCCCCAAUGGUAUUAGACGUUUACAUUGGAUUUACAUAGAUGCGAUAAAUACAUCAUAUUUUCUCUUUUCUCUUAUUCUAAAUAGAGCAAAUUAGUUUCAAUGAAAUAGGUAAAGUGUCAUAAAAGAGGAAAACAGAUAUCAUUCUUAUCUCAAAAAAAGCUUCAUUUACCUAACAGUGUGGAAAGCUAAAAUUAUGCAAUAUUCAAAAGACAUCUCUUUGAUACUGAAAAAUAUCGAAUAAAAAAAUAAAAAUGUUUCUGUUUAACAUCAUCUCCCUUUUCUAAACUACCUUACAUUUCAUAGGAUUUACACACAU